UGCCCAGCAACUCCUAUCCCUACCUCCUCGCGGUACUGGCCGGGGUACGAGUAACCUUGGCGAAGAUCGGGUAACCAACCCCCGGUGGGAACUUUGGUCGUAUGCUGACAGGGAAGG
rnacentral:ribozyme from 1 species